AUGAACGCUAGCUACAGGCUUAACACAUGCAAGUCGAGGGGCAUCAGGAAGAAAGCUUGCUUUCUUUGCUGGCGACCGGCGCACGGGUGAGUAACACGUAUCCAACCUGCCCUUUACUCGGGGAUAGCCUUUCGAAAGAAAGAUUAAUACCCGAUGGCAUAAUGAUUCCGCAUGGUUUCAUUAUUAAAGGAUUCCGGUAAAGGAUGGGGAUGCGUUCCAUUAGGUUGUUGGUGAGGUAACGGCCCACCAAGCCUUCGAUGGAUAGGGGUUCUGAGAGGAAGGUCCCCCACAUUGGAACUGAGACACGGUCCAAACUCCUACGGGAGGCAGCAGUGAGGAAUAUUGGUCAAUGGGCGCUAGCCUGAACCAGCCAAGUAGCGUGAAGGAUGAAGGCUCUAUGGGUCGUAAACUUCUUUUAUAUAAGAAUAAAGUGCAGUAUGUAUACUGUUUUGUAUGUAUUAUAUGAAUAAGGAUCGGCUAACUCCGUGCCAGCAGCCGCGGUAAUACGGAGGAUCCGAGCGUUAUCCGGAUUUAUUGGGUUUAAAGGGAGCGUAGGUGGACUGGUAAGUCAGUUGUGAAAGUUUGCGGCUCAACCGUAAAAUUGCAGUUGAUACUGUCAGUCUUGAGUACAGUAGAGGUGGGCGGAAUUCGUGGUGUAGCGGUGAAAUGCUUAGAUAUCACGAAGAACUCCGAUUGCGAAGGCAGCUCACUGGACUGCAACUGACACUGAUGCUCGAAAGUGUGGGUAUCAAACAGGAUUAGAUACCCUGGUAGUCCACACAGUAAACGAUGAAUACUCGCUGUUUGCGAUAUACAGUAAGCGGCCAAGCGAAAGCAUUAAGUAUUCCACCUGGGGAGUACGCCGGCAACGGUGAAACUCAAAGGAAUUGACGGGGGCCCGCACAAGCGGAGGAACAUGUGGUUUAAUUCGAUGAUACGCGAGGAACCUUACCCGGGCUUAAAUUGCAGUGGAAUGAUGUGGAAACAUGUCAGUGAGCAAUCACCGCUGUGAAGGUGCUGCAUGGUUGUCGUCAGCUCGUGCCGUGAGGUGUCGGCUUAAGUGCCAUAACGAGCGCAACCCUUAUCUUUAGUUACUAACAGGUUAUGCUGAGGACUCUGGAGAGACUGCCGUCGUAAGAUGUGAGGAAGGUGGGAAUGACGUCAAAUCAGCACGGCCCUUACGUCCGGGGCUACACACGUGUUACAAUGGGGGGUACAGAAGGCAGCUAGCGGGUGACCGUAUGCUAAUCCCAAAAGCCUCUCUCAGUUCGGAUCGAAGUCUGCAACCCGACUUCGUGAAGCUGGAUUCGCUAGUAAUCGCGCAUCAGCCACGGCGCGGUGAAUACGUUCCCGGGCCUUGUACACACCGCCCGUCAAGCCAUGGGAGCCGGGGGUACCUGAAGUACGUAACCGCAAGGAUCGUCCUAGGGUAAAACUGGUGACUGGGGCU
rnacentral:rRNA from 1 species